GAGAGCACCAAGUGUUACAGUAAGUUAUACCUGGAUAGAUUCCUACAGCUGAGAGUGUUGGAGAAUCUGUUUCCUGACUGGGCCUGUGGCUAUUGGGUUAUCCUUCUAAAGGAGAUUCCAUGAUGAAGCAGUAUUUCCCUGCUGUGAAACUGAAGGAGAGCCUUCACCCACCACCCUACGCUGGAAAUAAAAAUGAACUUUUCUUGUCUUUGUGUACAGCACACCUGCGUAAGAGCAACCAGCUCUUGGUCUAACAACAGAGACUGAGCACCAUGGUACAAUUAAACAAUGAUUUGUUCUUCAAAAUGUUCUCUUAAUUGCAGCACACUGACCCCUUCAGGCACCUGCACAGAAGGAAUUAAUUGUGAAAAAAAUUGUUAAAAUAAGACCAACACAAUCCAGAAUUCGUAUUUUCUUCAUUGAAGCAUAAUUACCUUUUUCUGUAAAUCGAUUCUGUCUCAGUCUGGGUGGGCCUUU